AUGGGGCGCAGCAGGGGCGAAAACUUUACAAUGCGGGAAACCGCGAUAAGGGAACCCCGAGUGCCAGCAUCAAAUGUUGGCUGUCCAGAUGAUUAAAAAUCAUUUGUUAGCAAGGGCCGGGCAAGACCGGUGCCAGCCGCCGCGGUAACACCGGCGGCCCGAGUGGUAGCCGUUUUUAUUGGGUCUAAAGGGUCCGUAGCCGGCCUGAUAAGUCCUUUGGGAAAUCUGGCAGCUUAACUGUCAGGCUUCUAAGGGAUACUGUCAGGCUUGGGACCGGAAGAGGUAAGGGGUACUCCAGGGGUAGGAGUGAAAUCUUGUAAUCCCUGUGGGACCACCAGUGGCGAAGGCGUCUUACCAGAACGGGUCCGACGGUGAGGGACGAAAGCUGGGGGCACGAACCGGAUUAGAUACCCGGGUAGUCCCAGCCGUAAACGAUGUUCGCUAGGUGUCAGGGACGGUGCGACCGUUUCUGGUGCCGUAGGGAAGCCGUGAAGCGAACCACCUGGGAAGUACGGCCGCAAGGCUGAAACUUAAAGGAAUUGGCGGGGGAGCAC
rnacentral:rRNA from 1 species